rnacentral:lncRNA from 1 species
AUCACUGAAUAACAAGCAAUAGAGACUACCCUUCAUUUUUGUAUGUGCUAGUCAAUUAGCUGAGGAAUUGUAGGGUCAAUACCUCAUGUGGUAUAUGUAUGACUACAUAUACUAACUUGUUAUAGAAAAAUAGAGAUAGAGAUCUCAAAAUAUAUAUGUAAAGUAACUAUGCAUUCAGAAUCUGUUUCAGUAUAUAAUAUGUGAUUCAUGAUAAGAAGAAAGGAUAGUUAUCUUUUCAAGGAAAAAAUUGAAAUUUUGAAUAAAUAGAUGGAAUUGUAAACUGAUGUAAAUUGUUAAUAUAUUACUUUUCAUAUGUGAUUUAUGAUAAGAAGAAAGGGUAUUUGUUUUUCAUGUAAAAAACUAAAAUUUUAGAUAAAUAGAUGAAAUUGUAGAAUAUAUGACUUCUGAUAUGUAUAUGACAUUUGUAUGGCAUUGCUUUGCAGUAGUUGUGAUGUGUUUGAAUCAUACAAGUUUGGCCUAAACAUAAAUUGAGUUUGGUUUGUGAAUGUAUGUAAAAGGAAAUGUGAAAUAAUCUCACUUGAUUUCUUACAUCCUGAACAGGUAGGCAUGUGUUGAGAGUAGUCACAUCAAGUACAGAGAUAUGAAGGUGUGAAUAUAUGUACUAUCAGCAUUAUUAGAAAUGUAGUAUGACAGUGUUAGAGAAGCAUUGGGAGACAUUGUUGACAUUGUUACAGGUAGGAGUGGGGAAGUGCAUAAUUGAGAAGUGUGGAGAGUGGACACAUAAUGUGCAAAGGGUAGGGAAUGUGGGGAAAAAAACAAAGAAGAUUUGGUUGAUAAGGAGGGAAGACAGCUGUAAAAGGACCCAAAAGGAGGAAUUGUCAUAAUACAUUCUCACCUCAUCUUUUGAAAAUGAGUGAAGUGAAGUGAAGAGAGAGAGGGUUUGGUUUGGUUGUGGGUAGAGAAGCAAAAGGAGAAAGUGUGACACAAGAGUUUACUCAAAAAACAAGUGUUGGGUGGUGAUGAAAAAAGAUGGUUGUCUAGUGAAAAAUAGACUAAUCAAACAGGUUUUGUUAGCCUUGUCUAUCAACAACAACUCUAACGGUGCAGCAUUAAAAUCAGAGGUUUUGGAGACACCACAUUUCAGAAACUAUAGAGAUCAGAACAUGGCGAGGAACAAGCAAUGUUCAAUGAAAACGAAAUAUGAGUACCUAUUUAAUACAGACACGAACACGA